AUUGAACGCUGGCGGCAGGCCUAACACAUGCAAGUCGAGCGGAUGAAGGGGGCUUGCUCUCUGAUUCAGCGGCGGACGGGUGAGUAAUGCCUAGGAAUCUGCCUGGUAGUGGGGGACAACGUUUCGAAAGGAACGCUAAUACCGCAUACGUCCUACGGGAGAAAGCAGGGGACCUUCGGGCCUUGCGCUAUCAGAUGAGCCUAGGUCGGAUUAGCUAGUUGGUGGGGUAAAGGCUCACCAAGGCGACGAUCCGUAACUGGUCUGAGAGGAUGAUCAGUCACACUGGAACUGAGACACGGUCCAGACUCCUACGGGAGGCAGCAGUGGGGAAUAUUGGACAAUGGGCGAAAGCCUGAUCCAGCCAUGCCGCGUGUGUGAAGAAGGUCUUCGGAUUGUAAAGCACUUUAAGUUGGGAGGAAGGGCAGUAAGUUAAUACCUUGCUGUUUUGACGUUACCGACAGAAUAAGCACAGGCUAACUUCGUGCCAGCCGCCGCCGUAA
rnacentral:rRNA from 1 species